AAUGAAUAAAAACAAGUAAUAGUAGUAGUUGAAACUAUUAUUCUACAUACAACUAUUUACAAUGUACACAGGGAAACAAGUCAGCAACAAAAAGGUACAAGACCCUGAGAGAAAGGGUGACAGGUUGAGCCACACCUAGGGGUGUGCCUUCCCAGGGAAGGAGAGGCAGACCACACUUAGGGGCAUGCCUUCCCAGGCAGUCUGACAACUGGUAGAUUUACAAGAGUUGGGGACAACCACCCACCAGCACUCUCAAAAUGGUGCACCCACCCAACUCACAUGUUGAGUGACCUGGGAUCACUUGCCAAUGUCAGGCAAGGUCAGGAUCCUAUGAAGGCUCAAAUCAGCAUUCCAAGGCAAGGGGAAAAAGGUGGAGCGAGUCCCCUUUCAUAAGCAGUGGCCAGCUGCCUCAGACUGGGGUCCUUUCAGCCACAGAUGGCUUCAGAGGUUUGGUGUCUUCGUUUGAAGCGAUUAGCCUUCAAAAAGGCUGCCAAGCUGCAUCUGCUCCAGCACAAUUCUUCUUCUCCUUCUCCUCCUUUUCUCCUCCUCAUUCUCCUCCUCUUCUUCUCCUUCCCCUUUCUUCUCCUUCUCCUCCUCUUCUUCUCCUUCUCCUCUUUUUUCUUCUUCUCCUUCUCCUCCUUUUCUUCUCCUCCUCUUCUUCUCCUUUUCUUCUCUUCUCUUCUUCUCCUCCUUUCCUUCUUCUCCUUUUCUUCUUUCUUCUCCUUUUCUUCUUCUUCCUUUCUUCUCCCUUUCUUCUCCUCCCUUUCUUCUCUUCUCCUCCUUUUCUUUUUCUCCUCCUCCUUUUCUUCUCCUUUUCUUCUCCUCCUUUUCUUCUCCUUUUCUUCUUCUCCUCCUCCUUUUCUUCUUCUCUUCUUCUCCUCCUUUUCUUCUCCUUUUCUUCUUCUUCUCCUUGUCUCCUUCUCUUCUUCUUCUUCCUUUCUUCUUCUCCCUUUCUUCUCCUCCUUUUCUUCUCUUCUCCUCCUUUUCUCCUCCUUUUCUUCUCCUCCUUUUCUUCUCCUCCUUUUCUUCUCCUUUUCUUCUUCUCCUCCUCCUUUUCUUCUCCUCUUCUCCUCUUCUCCUCUUCUCCUCCUCCUUUUCUCCUUUUCUUCUUCUCCUCCUCCUUUUCUUCUCCUUUUCUUCUCCUCCUCCUUUUCUUCUCCUCCUCCUUUUCUUCUCCUUUUCAUCUCCUUCUCCUUUUCUUCUUUCUUCUUCUCCUGCUCUUCUUCUCCUCCUCCUUUUCUCCUCCUUUUCUUCUUCUCCUUUUCUUCUCCUCCUCUUCUUCUUCUCCUUUUCUUCUUCUCCUUUUCUUCUUCUCUUCUUCUCCUUUUCUUCUUUUCCUCCUUUUCUUCUCCUUCCUUCUUCUUCUCCUCCUCUUCUUUUCCUCCCUUUCUUCUUCUCCUCCUUCUCCUCCUCUUCUCCUCCUUCUCUUCUCCUCUUCUUCUCUUCUCCUCCUUUUCUUAUCCUCCUCCUUUCCUCCUCCUCCUCUUCUUCUCCUUUUCUCCUUCUCCUUUUCUUCUCCCUUUCUUCUUCUCUUCUCCUCCUUUUCUUCUUCUCCUCUUCUCUUCUUCUCCUCCUCUUGUCCUCCUCUUCUUCUCUUCCUCCUCUCCUCUUCCUUCUCCUCCUCUCCUCCUCUUCUCCUUCUCCUUCUCCUUCUCCUUCUCCCUCUCCUUCUCCCUCUCCUCUUCUUCUCUUCUCCUCCUUUUCUUAUCCUCCUCCUUUCCUCCUCCUCCUCUUCUUCUCCUUUUCUCCUUCUCCUUUUCUUCUCCCUUUCUUCUUCUCUUCUCCUCCUUUUCUUCUUCUCCUCUUCUCUUCUUCUCCUCCUCUUGUCCUCCUCUUCUUCUCUUCCUCCUCUCCUCUUCCUUCUCCUCCUCUCCUCCUCUUCUCCUUCUCCUUCUCCUUCUCCCUCUCCUUCUCCCUCUCCUUCUCCUCUUCUUCUCUUCUUCUUCUCCUCUUCUCCUCUUCUCCUCUNNNNNNNNNNNNNNNNNNNNNNNNNNNNNNNNNNNNNNNNNNNNNNNN
rnacentral:lncRNA from 1 species